UUCAGCCCAAAUCGAACAGCCCAAGGAGUGAAGCCCAAUUGGAGGAUCCCCAAAUCAGAUAGCCCAAAGAACGAAGCCCCAAUCGAACAAAUCAAGAUGAAGGCCCAAAUAAGGAGGCCCAAAAAUGCGGUAACGCCAUCGCCCAAGUUUGCAAGUCGCCCAGAAUCUGAGCGAAUGGAGUGUCAUACAGUCGCCCAGAGCUGUUACUCUAUUCUCGCCCAAACCUUCAAGUCGCCCAAGGUAUUAACAAACAUAACGCGUUGUGGUUAUCAAGAAGUGCAGUUAUCAAAGCAGCCCUAUCACGUUCCACAAUUCAAGGAAUUCAAUCGAAAGCGGUUGAACGAUGAAUGGUAAUGGCAGCAGUUAAAAGGCAGUUUUCAUGACAAGGUGGCCAUUACGAAGAAAGUGGGUAGUUAUAAGACGAUCAAGCAGUUUUUAGAGUAGUUAAUCACAAAGAGAUCGUCUAUGAAGUAUAAAAGGGAGAAAUGACAUAGAAGCAAAGGACCGAAUCCAAAACUCUCGAACAGAGAACUUGUAAUUUUCAUUUCCUUAGUUUUUAGACUUAAACACUUUUCUUUCAGUAACUCGUGUGUUUGUGCCCCUUGGAGGCACGUUGUUUUUCAUUUCCAAUUGUAAAGUCAUCGCCAAUAAAAGAACACCCAUUUUUGGGAUUUUGUCUCAAAAGGUUUGUCCCUUAUACAAUCGUCUGAUCCUUUUUAAUUGUUAGCGACUAACCCGCGCGAAACAAAUAGCUUCCUCCUCAGCUUGACCUUUUGCAAGGGCUUCUGCGUAAGCCUUUCGUCUUCUAUCCUCGGGAAUUGCACUGUAAAUUAAGAAUAACUCACGCAUUGAGACAAAUUUCCAUCCAAAUAGUCAGAAAUGACAAUACUUGACGUGAGAAUAUGAUUACCCAAAAAGUUC
rnacentral:lncRNA from 1 species